rnacentral:rRNA from 1 species
UACGAAGGGGGCUAGCGUUGUUCGGAAUUACUGGGCGUAAAGCGCACGUAGGCGGGUUUGUAAGUAGGGGGUGAAAUCCCAGAGCUCAACUCUGGAACUGCCUUCUAGACUGCAAGCCUGGAGGUCAGGAGAGGCGAGUGGAAUACCGAGUGUAGAGGUGAAAUUCGUAGAUAUUCGGUGGAACACCAGUGGCGAAGGCGACUCGCUGGACUGAUACUGACGCUGAGGUGCGAAAGCGUGGGGAGCGAACGGG